rnacentral:rRNA from 1 species
CCGCAUGGGGAUAUUUGCUAAAGAUUCAUCGCUGAUAGAUAGGCAUGCGUUCCAUUAGGCAGUUGGCGGGGUAACGGCCCACCAAACCGACGAUGGAUAGGGGUUCUGAGAGGAAGGUCCCCCACAUUGGUACUGAGACACGGACCAAACUCCUACGGGAGGCAGCAGUGAGGAAUAUUGGUCAAUGGGCGUAAGCCUGAACCAGCCAAGUCGCGUGAGGGAUGAAGGUUCUAUGGAUCGUAAACCUCUUUUAUAAGGGAAUAAAGUGUGGGACGUGUCCUGUUUUGUAUGUACCUUAUGAAUAAGGAUCGGCUAACUCCGUGCCGGCAGCCGCGGUAAUACGGAGGAUCCGAGCGUUAUCCGGAUUUAUUGGGUUUAAAGGGUGCGUAGGCGGCCUUUUAAGUCAGCGGUGAAAGUCUGUGGCUCAACCAUAGAAUUGCCGUUGAAACUGGGAGGCUUGAGUAUGUUUGAGGCAGGCGGAAUGCGUGGUGUAGCGGUGAAAUGCUUAGAUAUCACGCAGAACCCCGAUUGCGAAGGCAGCCUGCCAAGCCAUGACUGACGCUGAUGCACGAAAGCGUGGGGAUCAAACAGGAUUAGAUACCCUGGUAGUCCACGCAGUAAACGAUGAUCACUAGCUGUUUGCGAUACAGUGUAAGCGGCACAG